rnacentral:rRNA from 1 species
GAGUUUGAUCUUGGCUCAGAACGAACGCUGGCGGCAUGCCUAACACAUGCAAGUCGAACGAUGGCUUCGGCCAUAGUGGCGCACGGGUGCGUAACGCGUGGGAAUCUGCCCUUGGGUUCGGAAUAACUCAGAGAAAUUUGAGCUAAUACCGGAUGAUGUCGAAAGACCAAAGAUUUAUCGCCCAGGGAUGAGCCCGCGUAGGAUUAGCUAGUUGGUGGGGUAAAGGCUCACCAAGGCGACGAUCCUUAGCUGGUCUGAGAGGAUGAUCAGCCACACUGGGACUGAGACACGGCCCAGACUCCUACGGGAGGCAGCAGUGGGGAAUAUUGGACAAUGGGCGAAAGCCUGAUCCAGCAAUGCCGCGUGAGUGAUGAAGGCCCUAGGGUUGUAAAGCUCUUUUACCCGGGAUGAUAAUGACAGUACCGGGAGAAUAAGCCCCGGCUAACUCCGUGCCAGCCGCCGCAGU